rnacentral:misc_RNA from 1 species
GAAACAACAAGUAUUUUCACAUGUUGACUUUGAAUAAGCAAAAGCAGAAUAAUAUUAGUAUGCUUAAAGCUGAUAAUGGAUCAUGGUGCAAUGAUCAAACCAUUCUUAACGAGCAAGUGGUCAACUUUUUCAAAUCUCUCUAUUCCAAAGAUAGAAGUGCUUCAAAAGAUUGCAGAUUUCCUAAUAUUUUCCCUUCCUUAACUGAUGAUAAGGUGAGAAAACUGGAGAAGGAUAUUAAAGAUGAGGAAAUAAAAAUUGUUUUGCUCCAAAUGGACUCUAUGAAGGCCCUAGGAAUCGAUGGCUUUAAUGUUUUCUUUUAUUUUUCAAAAGAAUUAGAAUAUUGUGGGGGCAUGAUGUUUAUGUUUCUGUGAAA